GCAUUGGUGGUUCAGUGGUAGAAUUCUCGCCUGCCACGCGGGAGACCUGGGUCCGAUUCCUGGCCAAAGCA
rnacentral:tRNA from 1 species